rnacentral:rRNA from 1 species
UACGUAGGUGGCAAGCGUUAUCCGGAAUUAUUGGGCGUAAAGCGCGCGCAGGCGGUUUCUUAAGUCUGAUGUGAAAGCCCACGGCUCAACCGUGGAGGGUCAUUGGAAACUGGGGAACUUGAGUGCAGAAGAGAAAAGCGGAAUUCCACGUGUAGCGGUGAAAUGCGUAGAUAUCUGGAGGAACACCGGUGGCGAAGGCGGCAUCCUGGACCGAUACUGACGCUGAGGAGCGAAAGCCAGGGGAGCAAACGGG